rnacentral:tRNA from 1 species
AGUACUAAUGACUUCCAAUCAUUAAGCCUUGGUUAAACCCCCAAGAGAAAAUA